GACGAACGCUGGCGGCGUGCUUAACACAUGCAAGUCGAACGGUAAGGCCCUUCGGGGUACACGAGUGGCGAACGGGUGAGUAACACGUGGGUGAUCUGCCCUGCACUUCGGGAUAAGCCUGGGAAACUGGGUCUAAUACCGGAUAGGACUCCGGACUGCAUGGUCUGGGGUGGAAAGCGUUUGCGGUGUGGGAUGGGCCCGCGGCCUAUAAGCUUGUUGGUGGGGUGAUGGCCUACCAAGGCGACGACGGGUAGCCGGCCUGAGAGGGGGACCGGCCACACUGGGACUGCGAUACGGCCCAGACUCCUACGGGAGGCAGCAGUGGGGAAUAUUGCACGAUGGGCGCAAGCCUGAUGCAGCGACGCCGCGUGAGGGAUGACGGCCUUCGGGUUGUAAACCUCUUUCAGCACCGACGAAGCGCAAGUGACGGUAGGUGCAGAAGAAGGACCGGCCAACUACGUGCCAGCCGCCGCAGUAA
rnacentral:rRNA from 1 species